rnacentral:lncRNA from 1 species
CUCCUUCCAGUCUUGGUGUCCUCUGAUUUAUCCUACAGGAAGUGCUUAUCUUCUUAUACCAUACAGCCGAUUACAUCACUCCUCUGAUGCAUCCCUAAUCAUUCCUCAUGGCCUGCAGCAGUGUUUCUCAAGUGAGUUUUGCCUAUCACCUUCCAUCAGAAUCACCUGGUGAGCUUGUUAGAGAACAGAUUCUCAGGAACCACACCAGGAUUUUGGAUUUAGAAUUGAUGGUGGUUGAGCCUAGACUCUGUAUUUUUAACAAGCUCCCUAUGUGAUUCUUUUUCAUGCUAAAAUUUGAGAGCAUCUGGCCUCCAGAUCAAGUGCAAACACUUCAGAAUUGCUGGUAAGUACCAUCUGACUCUGGCUUAGCGCCUUCUUUCCCUCAAUUCUUUCUACUCUUUCACCUCCCCUCUGCACUCCAGGUACGCCAAACUUUUUGCAGGUCCCCCUAAUACCAAGCUUUCUUACGUGUUAGCAACUUCAUAGAUGCUUGGUCUUCCACUUGAAGACCGCUGUAUGUCUGCUUUUUGGAGGGAGAUUUUGUGUUUGCUGGCAUCUCUACCAAUAAGUACACCAAUCGAAGUGGAAUUCAAAAAAGCUGUUUUGGUCACUUACCAAAGCUCUCAUCAGAGAAAUGUUGGAAGAAAUGAGAAGACUGUGCUCAGAGAUGGUAAGAAACUCAGAAGAGGCACCUGGUGAAUAGGAGAUGUCUGGAACUUGAAUGCAGGAAGAAGUGGAUACUUUCAACGGGAGAAACUCGAGCAUCAGAUUUGCUCCUUGGAGCAUUAAUAAAAGGGCUCAGUUAGCCUCAUCUCAUUAUUUUACUAUGAGUAUUGACUUUGGCCUAGAGUCAUGUAUAGAUAAAAUGGUGCAAGGGCUUGUCCUAAGUGAUUACUCAGAAUUACAAAUCAUUUCACGUGUAACUGAAUACUGCCGUCUAGCUGGCACCCUGCCCCUUGCUUCUCCCCCUCCCCUUCCUCUAAUAGGAGCGCAAAUCCAGCUUUGUCUGAAGAGGCAAUUAAUCUUAUUCACUGAAAGCCGAAUUUUAAUUCACCAGCAUGUGGAGGACAUAUUUGCCUAUCACACAGAAUUAGUUUAACAGAGAAUUUAGACAAAAAAGAUAUUGGAGGUCUUGGCAUUCUUUGGCAGGCAAAAUAUCUUGUAGGUACAUUCCUUUAUUAGCCAUCUACAUACUACGAAUAAGCUUCUUGUAAUAAUAACUCUAUUAGGGUAAACUGGGUUUAUUUUGUAUUUGAAAGUGGCUGAUUACAUUUUAUUUCAUGUAAAGAAACCCACAAGAUAUGUGUGUUUUGGAGGAAAAUGAACAUAAGGUGAGAGAGAUAAAUUUUAGUUUUCUAGAGAUUCUAAAAGGCUAUUAUUUUUAAGGGCACAGUUUAAAGAUGAUCAGAAAAAUAAAGGGACACAUAAAAAUCCUAGACAGCCUACAUACAUCCAAAUCUAAUCCUGCAGAAGGGUAAGUGGUAAGGUAUGAGGUAGACACCAUUGCCAGCACCACACUAGGACUCUCAUGUGAAAUCUGUGAGGGCAAAUACCGGAUUUCCCCAGUGCUUCUGCUGUGCUCUAUUUUAAUUUUCCCCUGAGCAAGGCCUUAGUGUUUUAUCUGAAGUUUGUUUCACAUGUAGACAAAGUGUAAAAAAAAAAACUUCCUGAAGCAGUUUCUUAAUUCAAGAGAUUUAGACAGGAAUAUGAUUUAAUGCAUGUCCAUGCUUGGUUAGAUAUCAAAUUCCCCUAAGUUCAGAAAACACAUGGCUCUGUUUUGUCCUUCUAUUUAACAUGGCGCUCG